AACACUUCAACUCUCAUGGUUCGCCGUGAUGAGCUUGGACUUUGGCGGUUUUGGCGGCCUUCGUGGUCGGCUCCUCUCAAAUGGAUCAGCUUGCCAGCGUUUGGGGNCAUCGUAGGUGUGAUAACUAUCUACGUCCGCGGUCGCCUGCCAUGUUACCGUUGGCAACGGAGGUUCGCUGGGGCUUAUGAAAGCCCGAGGANGGGCAUUUCGAAC
rnacentral:misc_RNA from 1 species